UGAUACGUGCACAUUUGAGGCAUCAACAAUGGCUUUGCCUCUGAGGGACUCGUGUAUGGAUCGAGCGUCAAUACUCAAUACGGAACCCAUCCGAGAUCUAAUAACUCCCUCCAGGAAAAGACAUUAAGCAACACAACUCUUUUAAGCCCAACUAUCCAAAAUUAAACUGAGAGGAUGAUGAGGGUAUCAAACAAUCCGAUUAAAUACAAUCACCAAUACAUAUAUCACGGCAGCACCGACGCAGAACCUGAACCUUGGAAAUCUGUAAAUUUCAACAAAUAUGAAAACUUCAACGAUCUAAAAACUAACAACAAGAAUCGAGUGCCUAUCGAGUCCUCUAGAGAAUAACCUCGACAAAUAAUGUCAAUAAUAGAAAUAAACAGUCCCACAUGGAGUGGAAAGGACCCAAGGUAGUGUGGCGGUGUUGUCACCUACUUGCACAAACUUAAACCUUCCAACACAUAUGAAGUUUAAUUGAAGAGAGAUUUGGAUAUCGUGAAAACACAACAAUCCAAAUCCAAUCUAGAAAUGCAACCCGCCAACCUAGCGAAACUGGAACCACAACAAGCUAAGCAAAUACCUCUUUUAAGAACAAAAGAAGAUAGUUGAGAGAGCAAUCAACAGAAGAAAAAGGUUACAUGAUGUCGCGAAGGAUGGAUCUUGUUGCACCACCGGUCUUGAGACUACAUUAUGACACCUCUGUUUUGGAAGGGGGAAAACGACGAUUUUGGUUUGUCUGAGGUCCAUUUAAACAAAUUUUUCAUCUAAAGUUUACUUUAAAAAAUUCUUUACUAAAAAAAUCAUAGCAAAAAGAUGAUACACUAUAAAAAUCAUGUUUAUAAAAAGC
rnacentral:lncRNA from 1 species